UGGUUCUGGCAUCGAUGAAGAACGCAGCGAAAUGCGAUAAGUAAUGUGAAUUGCAGAAUUUUGUGAAUCAUCGAAUCUUUGAACGCACAUUGCACCUUUUGGUAUUCCGAAAGGUAUGCUUGUUCGAGCGUCGUUUUAAUAUCAUCAGGCAACUUUAUCGUUGUUCUGAAUGGAAUUGGAGCUUCAGGAGUGUUUGUACCUCUGAUCUUUCAAAAUAAUUGGAAGCGAUCUUUGAUUGAUUAUUAUUAAACGCAUUAGAAAUUUUCGUUAUGAGAAAAUCAGUGUAAAAGAUCAGCCUUGUUUCUGUUAGGUAGUAGUUCAAUUUAUUGAGCUAUCCAUACCUACAUAUCCUAAAUUAUCGACCUCGAAUCAAGUAGGAUUACCCGCUGA
rnacentral:misc_RNA from 1 species